rnacentral:tRNA from 1 species
GGAAGGAUGGCAGAGUGGGCGAUUGCGACGGUCUUGAAAACCGUUAAACCGAAAGGUUUCGAGGGUUCGAAUCCCCCUCCUUCCGCCA